rnacentral:tmRNA from 1 species
GGGGCUGACCGGCUUUGACAGCGUGUAGAGGUGGUGUGUAAGCAUGCAGAGCAAUGAUGGCUACGCUCUAUAAUCUGGGACAUCACAAUUUUAAAUGGCGAAAACAACUACGCUCUUGCUGCUUAAUCGAAGUACAGUAGAUUAGCUUAAUCUCCGCCACAGUGGUGGAGACAAGACAUCGCCCGAUUGUCCUUUUUCCGAGACGGAUCGACAAGGCGGUGCAGAUAAAUCGGAAAUAGGAAGCCAAGAGCCUUGCGCGGCUUCCGAAAUCUUAAAGGCUAAGGCGACGGUUGGUGGUCUUGAUCCUGUCGGCGCCCUACAAUCAAGUCAAGACUAAGCAUGUAGAAAGCUCAUUAGUUCCACGUUUGGACGAGGGUUCAAUCCCCUCCAGCUCCACUU